UGGGGAAUAUUGCACAAUGGAGGGAACUCUGAUGCAGCGACGCCGCGUGAACGAAGAAGGCUUUCGCGUCGUAAAGUUCUUUUAUAUGGGAAGAUAAUGACGGUACCAUAAGAAGAAGCCCCGGCUAACUACGUGCCAGCAGCCGCGGUAAUACGUAGGGGGCUAGCGUUGUCCGGAAUCACUGGGCGUAAAGGGUUCGUAGGCGGAAAUGCAAGUCAGGUGUAAAAGGCAGUAGCUUAACUACUGUAAGCAUUUGAAACUGCAUAUCUUGAGAAGAGUAGAGGUAAGUGGAAUUUUUAGUGUAGCGGUGAAAUGCGUAGAUAUUAAAAAGAAUACCGGUGGCGAAGGCGACUUACUGGGCUCAUUCUGACGCUGAGGAACGAAAGCGUGGGUAGCAAACAGG
rnacentral:rRNA from 1 species